UACGGGGGGAGCAAGCGUUGUUCGGAUUUACUGGGCGUAAAGGGCGCGUAGGCGGCGUGACAAGUCACUUGUGAAAUCUCCGGGCUUAACUCGGAACGGUCAAGUGAUACUGUCGUGCUAGAGUACAGAAGGGGCAACUGGAAUUCUCGGUGUAGCGGUGAAAUGCGUAGAUAUCGAGAGGAACACCUGCGGCGAAGGCGGGUUGCUGGGCUGAUACUGACGCUGAGGCGCGAAAAGCCAGGGGGAGGCGAAACGGGG
rnacentral:rRNA from 1 species